rnacentral:rRNA from 1 species
AUGGACCCGCUGCCCCCUUCGCCGGUGAACUGGGACUCGCUCGACGCUCUCGUGCUCGACUUCGUCAGAUCCGAUCGCCUCAUCGCCCCUCCCGCCUCCCCAUCGCCGCCCUCAUCCCCAUCCUCCUCCACCACCACCGCCACCUCCUCAUCCCCAUCCACCUCGACCUCCUCGUCCUACUGCUCGCGCAUCCUCAUCCGCCGGGCCCGUCGCGCGCUCGAGGCCGGCGACGUCGACGCCGCCCUCGCGCUCCUCCGAGCUCACGCCCCUGCCGCGCUACUCGACCACCGCCUCCUCUUUCACCUACACAAGCAGAGAUUCGUGGAGCUGGUGAGGCGGGGUACGGAGGUAGACAGGGAGGCGGCGCUCGACUGUCUCCGCACAGCUCUCGCACCCUGUGCUCUCGACGCCUACCCUGAAGCGUACGAGGAAUUCAAACAUAUACUGCUGGUUUUGAUAUAUGACCAAGAUGAUCAAUCUUCCCCAGUCGUCAAUGAGUGGUCUAUAAAGAGGAGAUUUGAACUUGCUGGGUUGCUAUCAUCCAUAUUAAGAGCUCAUUUACAAGCUUAUGAUCCUAUUCUCUCAAUGUCCUUAAGAUACUUAAUAAGCAUUCACAAAGUAUUCUGCUCGCGCCAAGGAGUUUCAUCACCUAUAUCUGAUCUAACUGAGCGGCUACUCUUCGAGGACCGUGAUCCGCCUGCAGUUACCCAGGAAUGUUCAGUAGAAGCACCACCAUUUGACGAGGUUGAUGUUCAAGCCCUAGCACAUGCGGUUGAGUUGACAAGACAAGGCGCUAUCGACAGCUUGAAGUUUGCAAAAGGAGAUUUGUAUCAAGCAUUUCAGAACGAACUGUGCCGAAUGAAGAUGGACCUGUCACUUCUGGAUAAACUUGUACAUGAGUACUGUAUAUACAGGGGAAUUGUUCAAGGCUGUUCUCAUGCCCUUCCUGGAACUGCUGACAUGCAGUGCAGUCAAAACAUUGAUGUUAGUUUCAUAAAUAAUCAAGGAGCCAACAAUGAAGCACAGCUUGAUUGUGAAUCGGCUGGCAAGCAGGAUGACGGUUGUUGCACCAGUGAUAUUACCCAUCAUGAUUCCUGGUCGAAGAGAUUACGCAGGGUUAGAAGCAGUACAUCAGGGCAGGGAAGGCGAAAGAGAUGGAGAGGUCGAGCAGAUGAUCUUAAUUAUGCUUUUGAGACUCCAGUUGAUGCAAAUCGUGAUACCUUGUCUCCUGCCUUUGACAUGGACGAAGAUGUUGUAAUAGGAGAACAUGACUCUGUGUUAGAUACUGGUUUGUCUGAUACUAGGAAUAUGCAAGAUCAGAAGUAUGAGGUUAUUUUAGAGAUGAGGGACCUCACACGCAAAGGAAUGGCUUCCAAAGUUGUGGAUGAAAUAAACAGCAUAGAUCCUGAUUUCUUUUCGCAAAACCCUAUUCUUCUGUUUCAGCUAAAACAGGUUGAAUUUCUUAAGCUAGUAGCUGCUGGAGAUCAUGUAGCUGCUCUCAAGGUUGCAUCUGCUCACCUGGGACCUCUUGCUGCCAGUAACCAAGCUUUACUGAAGCCUUUGAAGGAAACUUUGGUAACGCUGAUUCAACUCAAUGAGGAUGUACUCACAAAAGCAGUAUCGUUGCCUGUUCUUGCAAGUUCUCUGCAGCUUGCGAUAAGCAGGAGGCUUGGUAUUGAAGAACCUCAACUGAUGAAGAUAGUCAGGACAACACUUCAUACACACACCGAAUGGUUUAAGCUUCAGAUGUGCAAGGACCGUUUUGAUCAUUUUUUGAAGAUUGAUUCUCUAAAAGAGAUUGAUCCACCUGUGAGUCGCACUAUGUCCAAGGUUCUUACAGAUGAAUGUGGAAAUGGAUCUUCUCAGAUCACAACAUGCUCAAGUGGCAAGGUGCUGGAUGAAGGUAGUAGCCCUCAGGAGUCAUCGGAAGUUGUCUGCGAUGAAAGCGCUAUACUCAAAGUUAUGGAAUUCCUUGCUUUGCCAAGGGCGGACGCCAUCCAACUACUCAUUCAGUAUAGCGGAAAUGCAGAGACAGUGAUCCAACAAAUCUUUUCAUAG